ACAAAUCGUUUUAAUAUCUGUGAACCCACAGACAGACUUUAUGAAAUACUUAAUAUCUCUGUGAACCCACAGACAGACUUUAUGAAAUACUUAAUAUCUCUGUGAACCUACAGACAGACUUUAUGAAAUACUUAAUAUCUCUGUGAACCCACAGACAGACUUUAUGAAAUACUUAAUAUCUCUGUGAACCCACAGACAGACUUUAUGAAAUACUUAAUAUCUCUGUGAACCUACAGACAGACUUUAUGAAAUACUUAAACAUCAGUAAAAAAGCAACGAUAUACUUUUACAUGAGUUCACUUUAAUGUAUCCAGUAAAACUGUCUGAUCAGCUCAUUAAACAACUUCUCUAAACUCAGAAAUAUGAAUAGAUUUGCAUAGAUGUCUGUAUUUUAAAGGGACAUUAAUCAGCAUGAACCCAACAUAAAUGUGCCAGAUCUAGCCAGAUCUAGCCGUGCAUUAUUUGCCUCUGCAGACCCCAGCAGGUUAGUGGCCUGAAACAUUAGAUAAGCUACAGGAAUACAACACAUAAUAUAACCAGAACACAUGUAGACUGGUGACGACACGACCACUGUUCCAGAGGAUCACAGCUGGCAGGAUGAUGAAGUAUUAUAUACAGUACACACAUUAAAACACAUUAAAACACAUUAAAACACAGAAGCACACCCAGAGACGUAACCAUAGCAGCAAACACAAACACAUUAUGCCUGAUUAUGGCAGCAUAUUAGAUUACAGUCAUCCAGUCAGCAGUCUGCUAACCAGUACCCAGUCUGCUGGGACUGCCCCCCCCCUCUCUUCUCCAACCUCCCCCCCCUUCCUCUCCCUCCUCCCUCCUCUCUUCCUCCUCCAGAACCAGUCGUCCUCCCCCUGAACACAUCAACAAACUGAGAACAAGAAGUCAGACUCUGUGGUGGAGAAGAAGAAGAAGAAGUCAGACUGCGUGGAGAAGAAGAAGAAGAAGUGAGACUGUGUGGAGAAGAAGAAGACAGACUUGAGAGUAUUGUUCUUCAGACUAUCAGAGCACAGCUGUUUGUUGCCUUGACGAUGGUGAGCGCUAUCCUGAGGAUGAUGGGAAAUCGUUCUGCUUCGACUUUGACUCGUCCAAAAGAAAUCCUGAAAGAGACGAAGAAGAUGAUUUACAGCAAACCUCCGAAGAACAAGAUCGGAGCCGCACAAAGUUUCUUUGUUAUGUCUGUGUUUGCGGUGGCCAUGUUGACGCCAGCUGCCUGGAUCCUUCAUCACCUGCCGGAGUACCGCCAGCGGUACAAACAGAGACCCCGAGACUGAUCUUCCUCCUCCUCCUCUUCAUCAACACAUCAAUAUAUCACGUACAUGUUUCUUAAUUCAUCUAUAAUAUUAUUAUUUAAUCACUUAAAUAUUAAAUCAUGUUCAUCAUCUGUUGUAAAUGCCCUUUAGUAAGUAAGUUACGUUUAUUUGUAUAUCACUUAUUCCAGACAAAGUCACAAAGUGCUUCAAAGGCCAAAUAACAAUUACAAGGGCUAUGUUUCCAGUGAUUAAAGGGAUGUUUCCAGUGUUUAAAGGGAUGUUUCCAGUGAUUAAAGGGAUGUUUCCAGUGAUUAAAGGGAUGUUUCCAGUGUUUAAAGGGAUGUUUCCAGUGUUUAAAGGGAUGUUUCCAGUGUAUAAAGGGAUGUUUCCAGUGUUUAAAGGGAUGUUUCCAGUGUUUAAAUGGAUGUUUCCAGUUUUUAAAGGGAUGUGUUUCCAGUGUAUAAAGGGAUGUUUCCAGUGUUUAAAGGGAUGUGUUUCCAGUGUAUAAAGGGAUGUUUUCAGUUUUUACAGGGAUGUGUUUUAAAGCUCCAGUGGUGUCUGAGACUGGACGUACUCCGGUGGUAACUCAGUUCAUGCAGAUAACUUUACAUCUGGAAGGGCUUUGAAACUCAACCUGCCAUCAUAACAUCCUUUUCUUUCUCCAUUUCUGCUCAAGGAGCUUUGUUUCUUUUCUUUUUUUGUGUCUUGAGCUGCUUUUUAAUGAUCAUUGUUUUAGGUAAACUGUAGGUAAUAAAGCCUGCUAUUCUCUCUUUAGAUGAAUUUAGGUAAACUGUAGGUAAUAAAGCCUGCUAUUCUCUCUUUAGAUGAAUUUAGGUAAACUGUAGGUAAUAAAGCCUGCUAUUCUCUCUUUAGAUGAAUUUUGUGGCUCCUUUCUUUGUGAUUAAGGAUCAGGUUUAACCUGCGAAGCCACUUCAGAGUGUAUGCCAGUGUUGUAGUCAAGACCACCUAAACAGAGACCAAGUCAUCACCAGACCUGUGCUCCUGUCUCCCGCAUCCACUUUCUUAGGCGUGUGUUUUAAGGUAGCGGGGUUACAAGGAACUAAUUUUGAAUUAGAAAUGAGUCAAGUUGUUUAAUUUGAAGCAGGAAGUUUUACAUCCAAUCACAGUAAUGAUGUUAACACAUAAAUCAGACAAUGCACGCUGUGAUAUCCCUGCAGUUGUGGUCUUGACCGGUCUUAAAAUAAAAUCCCAAGUCCUCUUUAUCUGAGACUUCUGGACUUUCUGGACCUUCCUGCUGCCUUUGACACAGUGAAUCACCAGAUCCUCAUUUCCACACUCCAGGAUCUGGGUGUCUCAGGCUCUGCUCUCUCUGCUCACAUCUUACCUGGCAGACCGAACCUACCGGGUAACUUGGAGAGGAUCUAGCUCAGAACCUUGCCCACUCAAAAUUGGGGACCCUCAUCUUGAGUACUACAACACUGGCGUACGCCACAUCCAUGGUGCUCUCCGUCUUCCUCUUGGCGUGCACGCUUUUAGCCGACGGCAUCACGCGUCUUGUUCUGCAGGAACACCUUCAGGACUCCGCAUCUCGCCUGGUAGAUCAGACUGUACUUGGCCACGGCGAGCCAGCGAGUGGGUUUGGUGGAUGUUACCACGGAGCACUUUACUCUUUAUCUGCUACUGUUACUGCUGCAUCGCUUCCUGGUUCCUUAAAUACAGAAUCACAGAACGCACAUGCCUUAAUCUGGCUUAAAACGAAUGAGUGGCGUUAAAAAGAACUUGCAUUAAUGUAACUUAACUCUUAAUUAUUUAUGGGGAAAUCUGCAGCUUUUACUAAAUAUAUGUCUGAACAUGUUUUAAUGACACUGAAGCGCCUUUUUAUUAUGACAUCAUAAAUACUCCUGCUAACAUCAGACUCACAUGUUGUGAGACAAUAAGAGCAGCAUGUUCACAACGUUGCCAUGGAGAUUCUCUCCAGUUAAAAAUAUUAAAAAUAAUGAUGUUCUGCAGUUUGUACAAACAGGAAGUGUUUGUGUGUUUAAAGAUAGAAUAAAGCUUCAGUUUGUGAGUUUGAA